GAGGAAAGAAAAGGUAAAAAGGUUGAAACAAGAGUCCAGAACUGGAUGACUGAAGUAGUUCGGCUGACUAAGGAAGCAGAUGACGUGAUAGAUAAACACCUCGCACAGACUAAAGAAGCAGAUGACGUGAGAGAUAAACACCUCGCACAGACUAAGGAAGCAGAUGACGUGAGAGAUAAACACCUCGCACAGACCAAGUGUUUAAUCGGCUUUUGUCCUAAUCUAAAGCUUCGUCAUCAUCUGGGCAGGAAAUCAAAAAGAUUGGUUCUAGAGGUGGCAGAGCU
rnacentral:lncRNA from 1 species